rnacentral:lncRNA from 1 species
ACUUACUGGCGAUGUGUAAUUCAUAUGAUUCAAAAUUAUAAUGUUAACAAAUUGGUGAAUGAUCUCUAACGUUUUCUGUGGUGAUGUAACUCUUGUGCUUUACUGGUAAGAUUUCACAAUGUGUCACAUUGAUAUUGGGGUGUUCACCUGUUUAUAUGUUUAUAUUAUGCCCCUUAAAAGAAAUGUUCAUGUUGCAGUCCUUAGCAAAUGACUGGGUCUGCGAGUAAACAUGUUAUGUCAUUCACAUUGGAAUGCAUUUUUUUGCUUAUCCUUUCCAUAUUUUUAAAUAAUUCCAUUAGUAAUGUUCUUGUAUAGCACAAUCUUCAAGAUUUCGAUGUGUCAGAAUGAAUUUUAUAGGGAAGUGCCUACUAAUGCGCAACCGCCCCAUUCUAGAUGCAAUGUUUUCUAUUGGCCUGAUUUUGUGUCCUUUCCUGCAGGGUAUAGCGAAGUAAAAAAAAACCUCAAUUACUGUGUGUUAGUAUUUGCAUUGCAUUUAAGGAUUUGAAUGAAAUUUCUGAUGAUCACAUUAUACCCAGGGGUGCUUACAGUCUAACAGCAACUUUUCGGUACAGAGGCUCCAGUCCCGAUGUUUUGGAUGCAGUGACCCAGUGUUUUGAAUGCAGUGAUGAUACACAUGGCUGCUGAAAUUGCGGUGAGAAUAGGAUAGUGGUAGAAGGGUGAGAGCUUUGCUUUAAGUGCACAGGUGAACUGAAGUUGCUCCUGUCUAGAAUCAGAUUAAACUUCCUUGCUUGCUUUCCAUUAAUUGUUUUGCGUAUUCAUAUUUUUAAUGGUAGUUAAGUCCACCAUUGUGACUUAUGUCAGUGGCCCAGUCCUCGUUGAUGGACAAAUAAAAAUAGUACUAACAAUCCUAAAAAAAUAUGUAUCAAGAGAUUACUGCAGUAACUGCUUAUGGAACCAAGGAUGCCUCAGCAUUGUUUGAAUAAUACAUUUUCAAGCAUAGCAAUGGGCAUUGCUUGCAUGGAGGCAGUAUAUAAUUUGAAGAGUCAAAUUUGCAAGUUUUGACCAACACUUAGUCAAAUUAUUAUAUGCAUGUUUAGUGUUAAAUGAUACAUCCAUAGUUUAGACUAGUUUUGCUAUGAUAGUGUCUGUAAAAAAAAUCAGAAUAUUAUCUUUAUAGCUUUGUACACAUUUUAGAGUAUUUUAUGUUGAAAAUCAGUCAGUCUUUCUUGUGUGACCUGUCCCAAUUGCUUCACAAUUGUAAUAAUUCAUAAAUAUAACUGUCAGCCUGUCUGGCUAUUGCUUAAUACUAAACUACAUCAUAUUGGUGAUGCUAUGUUAUGUAGCUGUUGCUCCCACAUAUACUCACAUAAUCUCCUCUAUUUUUUGUGGCUCUCAUAUUUAAUGUCAUGCAGUCAGGGGUUGUGAUAUCGAUUUGUUGUGCAUAAUAGUUAAGGCUAUGUGAUUUGAUUGUGUUAAAGAAACAGUUGCCAUUCUAUUUGACAUUGUGUCAUAUUUUGUGUUGUAAAUGGUUGUUAUGCUUGUAAGUUGCCUGCCUAUUUGAUUUGGCUCUGUUUUUGGAGUGGUGUUUUGUGCUUGCCAACACCCCUGAUGAGCUUGCAUAUGUUUCUUUGCGAUAGUCUCAGUGCCUCAAAGGCUGCAUUACUCUGUCAGAAUCCGUUUCUAACUUGAUGGUCAUUCUGGUCCUUAGUUGUUCACACAGAACUGUGGAAUCUCGAUAAUUCAGCCAUUAGGAUGUCACAUGAGGCUGUCAUAAUCUGCAUUGUGUGUGUUUAUUUUCUCUCCUUCGUGUAAGAUUGCGUAUAAUGCGUGCAUUGUAUUGCUUGAGCCCCAUGGGCUGAGUAUAUAGGAGAUAAGGAAGGUUAUCCUGGGAUUACAAUUAAUCCUAAACUAACCAUAUCCGGGGUUGCCUAAUAUACUCUUAGCACUUUGGGUUUUAUUAUUUGGCAUGUUGUAUAUAUGAGUAUCUUUUGGCCAUGUAGGCUCGGCAGAAUUGCGGUAGCUACUAGCUAGUAGCUUGCUGUGCAUUACAUGUGCUGACUUAUGUAUGUGAAUUUUGCUUGGUUAAAUUUCUAUCUUUGUGCAUAUACUAUUUUAUACUCGAGCCUCUGCGCUGAUCUGUGACAUGAAGAAAAUUAUACCAAAUUUAUGAUUAUAUUGCUAGGAAAUUUCUUUUACUUAUAGUUAGCACCUUUCCGGUAUUCAUGUUUUUAUUUUGUUGUUUAUUCUGCAGUUUUGCUAUGCCGUGUGGACCUGUACCGAGGGCAGGUGAAGUGGGAGGAGCAGAGCGAGAAGUUGUUAUGAUCAAGAUACAGCUCUUGUUCAGUGUUCUUGAUAUUGGUACCCAUAAGUAGGCACAAAUGUUUAUUACCUUUAGAUUUGUAUAUGUAUUCUUUUCUAAUCUUGUGAAUUUGUUUUCAAUUUUUUGUCAUUUAGAUGGUCAAAGUUACUGCAACUAUAUUGUCAAAUUGAUCUCUCAUGGGGUGAAAAUAUCACUUUUUUAUAGUCUUUGUUCCUGACAUGUGGUGUCAAUAUUCCCAUUAAGUUUCAUUUGUUUUUUCAUCAAUAUUCUAAUUAAAUUCCUGUUAAGUGGAACAGGCUAAAAAUUGUAUUUUCUAUGUGUUUUUUCUUUGUGUUAGGAAUCUGAAACUUUUUUCUCGAGAAAUCACAUGUAUUUUCAUUUGUUGUCUAUUAGGCUUCCAUUUUCCCUAAUCUUCUGUGUUUUUAUCUACUGCCUGUCUGCAUUUGGCUCCGCUAUUUCUCUGUGCUGAAUAUUUGGUCCAUGCCUACAUGCAGCAGAGAGUGUUUAGAUCUCGUUGAGAAGCCACCAGCAGCUCUAAUUAUCAUUUUUUAUGUGCAGGCCAACGAUAGCUGCAACAGUUUUUUUGUGUUGUGCAGAUAGACAACUACAGCCUAGGGUUCAAGCUGGUCUGCUCAAUUUCGUUUUAAAUUUGUGCAGUGUCUCAGUACCUUAAUCAUUAUUCUGUGCACUUAAUCUAUCUUUGUUCUAUUAGUGAUCGUUUGCAUCCAUGUGUUUCUCCUUACAGUAGUAGCAUAGCAGCACUUAGUUAACUCCUUUUGCUUGGUUUGAUGUGCUAGCUUUGUCAUUUUUUGUAGUCUUGCCUUAGCCAAUUUUUUUUUGAGUAUUUCAGGUUUUCGCUAUGUAGGAUCAAAUGUGGGUUCUAUUUGAUAAUUAAAUCAGAUUAUGGAAAAUGAUUCAAGUUGUUUCUGUUCUAGUGUGCCAUUAUGGGGAAUCAGAUUGUGGGUUCAAUCAUCAAGUUAAAUUUUAGAUUUUGUGGAAGUCUAACUUUCCAACUCGAUAGUUGUCUCCUUGAGCUCUAAGACGUUAUCAAGAUUGCGAAAGGUAUUGCCUAUGUGUUUUUUCUUUGUGUUGAAAUCUGUAAAAGUUACAGGAUUUUUUUAGCUGUUCCAAGUGUUCAACUGAUAUUCAGGAGAUAUCAACUGACAAUUAGGGUAGAAAAACAAUGGCUGCUCACCCUAACUUUUGAAAUCUGAAUUCCUGGAUAUUUCAUUCCUUAUGAUAAGUGAUACGUAACUCAUAUUUACUUGGAUGGUCACCACUGUGACUGGUUCAGUUUUAUGGUUGAGCGUUGAAGUAAAGAUUUUACAUGUCUCACCUGUUGGCUCUUUUUUCCAGAACAAAUGGAAGAAUAUGCAAUGUAAUUGUUUUCAUAUCUCAAACUGCCAUUUCCCUUGUUAUUUGAAUACCUGUUUCAGACCUAUUAACUGACCACUGUUUGUCAUAUCAAAAUCUGCAUUUAAAGUUUAGGUUGUGUCUGAAUCAGUCUGUUUUACCACCACAUUAUGAGGGCAAUCACUGAUUAGUUUUCAAAAUUAUUUAUAGUUGAAGCUUCUCUGUUUCUCUCUUUCAUGUCCUUGUCACCUAAUCAACAAGGCUGCAUUCUAAUUUCGAGAUCAAUUUCUCUGAGAGAUAGAAAUGUGGUGUGGUUGCCACCCUCAUGGUAAUAUUAUAGGGCUACUGAAUUGCCCACUGAUAUGCGUUUUUAUCUCCAUUUUGCAGUUUCUACAUUUUUCUGCCUUCAGCAAUUACUGACCAUGCUGUUUCUUUUUGCUUAAUUUUUGGAUGCGUAUUUACUCUAACAAAUCCCUUGACUUUCUCAAGGUUUAACAUGCAUCUUUGAGGCAAAGUUUUAUUCUGCCUAAUUUAUUCAUGUAUUCAACAUACUUGGAGAUACAUGAUGUUGAAGGAAAAAAAAGGGGGGGCAGGUUUUAGCUUCGUAUUGACAUUUAGUGUUAGGUUCGGCUAGUCAUGUGUGCCCUUCCAGAUUGCUUGUGCUUACUAGCUACUAAAUCUAUUUGUCAGGUGUGACCUUCCAUGAAAUUUUUCAUCAUUGUAAUUAUUCACUGUCAAUAUAAUAUAUU